rnacentral:lncRNA from 1 species
CUAUAGUAUCGAUGGCGCCGUGGCGCGCCGCUUGCACCACGGCGUCGGGGGUCGCGGCCCAUCCCGACCCAAUCAGUUGCCGUAGCGAGGCGACGUCGACGCGCGCUGCGACAGCGCCAGAGACAAUGGACGCGUCGUCGAGAUCACACUCGUCAGCGAGCCAUGUGACGACGGCCGUGUGUCCGGCCCAUGCUGCGGCCCGAGCACAUUCUUGCGUCGGCCGCAAGAGACCGCGCGCCUGCGCGCCCACGAUCCAAUCGACGUGACCGCGCAUGGCGGCGACUUGCCAGGCGCGCGCAUCGACCGUGUGCGCGGCGCCGAGGUCGACGAGCAGCGAGAGGACGUCGGUGCGCCCGCUCCACGCACAGGCCAUGCCCACGGCGGGGCUGUCGAUGGGGCAACCGGCCAACACGAGGGCAAGGAGCCGUUCCGUUGACGAACCUCGCGCCACGCACCAGGCAAACACACGCGGCGAGGACGGCCACCCGUAUUCAAGCAGGCUGACAGCGGCGGCAUCGCCGUGCGUCCGGGCCGAUUCCUCACAGGCACGCGCGUCGAGAGGGCGAGAUCGGGACGGGAACGCCGACGCCGUGGAUGAUUGUGCCUGCUUGCGCGCAUACAAACAGAACACCGUGGGCGAUGGUCGCUCGUGCUUGCCAAACCCCGAGGGAAGGCAGUGACCGCGAGAGAGGCGAAAACAUGUACGCGCGCGGGCCAACGGGCACACGGGCGCGCACACGACUUUGCACCUGGUCGGCGGCGGGUCGUUGGCGCCGGAUGGCAAGCGCGCCAUGGGACCGCCUGAUCGUUGUUGAUGCCUCUCCACCGGCGGCAGACAAGAGGCACCGACGCAACGGCCUCAAAGCACGAGAGGUAGGCAAACACGGCGACCAGCAUCUCGUCCGGCAGGUCGUUGAUGUGUAGGACAGAGUCGACGUGGGGACGAUGCGGGACGACCGCCGGCAGUCCGCACGGGCACUGUCGAUGUGUUGUCGACGGCGCUCGUGGAUCGUGCGCGCCCCGAGCCAACAUGAUGGAGCCGAUUUUUGGCGAGAUG